rnacentral:misc_RNA from 1 species
AACGCAAAUUGCACUCCCUGGCAUCCCGGGGAGUAUGCCUGUUUGAGGGUCAGUAGAAUCAAAUCGGCGCGUUGCUCCUUUUGGGUGACGUUCCGGAGUAUGGGUCAUCUUAAAGCUUUUUUUUUUUGGGUUAAGAGACCUGAAAUUGACAAUCUUUUUGCGCGCCUUUGGACGUACAUAAUCUUUUUAUUUCGUCUAUCCUGGUGGCAAAAAUCUAUUAGACGCGACCGUGCUUGAUGGACUCGCGUCUAUAAAUGUAUCACGAUUUGACCUCAAAUCAGGUAGGAGUACCCGCUGAACUUAA